UGCGGGUUAGAACGCUGCUAAUCAACCAAUCACAUGACAACUCAAUGCAUUUAGACAUCUAGACGUGGUGAAGGCGACUUACUGAAGUUCAAAACGCACAUCAGAAUGGGGAAGAAAGGGAAUUUAAGUGACUUUGAACGUGGCAUAGUUGUUGGUGCCAGACGGGCUG